ACGGGAGGCAGCAGCUAAGAAUAUUCCGCAAUGGACGAAAGUCUGACGGAGCGACGCCGCGUGGAUGAUGAAGGUCGGAAGAUUGUAAAAUCCUUUUAUAACUGAGGAAUAAGUACUUUGAGAGAAACGGAGUAUGGUGACUGUAGGUUAUGAAUAAGCAACGGCUAAUUACGUGCCAGCAGCCGCGGUAACACGUAAGUUGCGAGCGUUGUUCGGAAUCAUUGGGCGUAAAGGGCAUGUAGGCGGCCGCGCAAGUCUGGAGUGAAAUCCCCGGGCUCAACCCGGGAACUGCUUUGGAAACUGCGUGGCUUGAGUCGCCGAGGCGGAGCCGGAAUUCCAGGUGUAGGGGUGAAAUCUGUAGAUAUCUGGAAGAACACCGGUGGCGAAGGCAGGCUUCGAGCGGACGACUGACGCUGAGGUGCGAAGGUGCGGGGAGCGAACAGGAUUAGAUACCCUGGUA
rnacentral:rRNA from 1 species